rnacentral:rRNA from 1 species
UACGUAGGGUGCGAGCGUUAAUCGGAAUUACUGGGCGUAAAGCGUGCGCAGGCGGUUCGCUAAGACCGAUGUGAAAUCCCCGGGCUUAACCUGGGAACUGCAUUGGUGACUGGCGGGCUAGAGUGUGGCAGAGGGGGGUAGAAUUCCACGUGUAGCAGUGAAAUGCGUAGAGAUGUGGAGGAAUACCGAUGGCGAAGGCAGCCCCCUGGGCUAACACUGACGCUCAUGCACGAAAGCGUGCGGAGCAAACAGG